UGAAAAUGACUAGAGGCACUCCAUGAAAGAAUUAAAUUGGGGAACAAUUGCAAAGAGAACAGUGAGGGAGGGGGGCUUUUGGAGCGAAUAACAAACAACACUGGAUAACUAGAUAACAAAUAAUUGCUUCAGUAUCAAGCCCAUUGAAGAUGGAACAAUUUACAUAACAAAUAGGGCAUGGGCAAAAUUUUGAUCUUUUCAUCUAUGUAAGUUUCAUUAAACUUAAAAAUCAUCAUAACCUACAGCUUUCAAGGUAUCCCUGCAAUUUCUAGCCAAUGUAAGACGAGAAAGUUGGACUAAAAUAUUCACAAUCCAUCCACCAUAUAAAUAAGUAAAAAAG
rnacentral:misc_RNA from 1 species